rnacentral:tRNA from 1 species
GGGUGUGUUAGCUCAGUGGCUAGAGCUUAGGUCAUGUAACCGAAAGGUCCCGGGAUCAAAUCUCGCCAGAGGCA